GCUAGGCAUGCAUCUCAGUGGUAGAGCAUGUGCCUAGCACAUGCAAGGCCCUGGGUUCAAUUCUCAGUAUAGUA
rnacentral:tRNA from 1 species